rnacentral:rRNA from 1 species
AUGAACGCUAGCGGCAGGCCUAACACAUGCAAGUCGAGGGGCAGCACAGGUAGCAAUACUGGGGUGGCGACCGGCGGAUGGGUGCGUAACGCGUAUGCAACCUACCAUUGAUUGGGGCAUAGCCCGAAGAAAUUCGGAUUAAUACUCCAUAAUAUUCAUCAAAGGCAUCUUUUAUGAAUUAAAGCUUUUGCGAUCAAUGAUGGGCAUGCGUGACAUUAGUUAGUUGGUGAGGUAACGGCUCACCAAAACGAUGAUGUCUAGGGGUUCUGAGAGGAUUAUCCCCCACACUGGUACUGAGACACGGACCAGACUCCUACGGGAGGCAGCAGUGAGGAAUAUUGGUCAAUGGACGCAAGUCUGAACCAGCCAUGCCGCGUGCAGGAUGACGGCCCUAUGGGUUGUAAACUGCUUUUCCACGGGAAGAACCCUCCGACGUGUCGGAGACUGACGGUACCGUGGGAAUAAGCAUCGGCUAACUCCGUG